rnacentral:rRNA from 1 species
GAUGAACGCUGGCGGCGUGCCUAAUACAUGCAAGUCGAGCGAACAGAUGCGGAGCUUGCUCCUCUGACGUUAGCGGCGGACGGGUGAGUAACACGUGGAUACCCUACCUCUCAGACUGGGAUAACUUCGGGAAACCGGAGCUAAUACCGGAUAAUAUAUUUAACCGCAUGGUUCAGUAGUGAAAGACGGUUUUGCUGUAACUUAUAGAUUGUUCCGCGCCGCAUUAGCUAGUUGGUAAGGUAACGGCUUACCAAGGCAACGAUGCGUAGCCGACCUGAGAGGGGGAUCGGCCACACUGGAACUGAGACACGGUCCAGACUCCUACGGGAGGCAGCAGUAGGGAAUCUUCCGCAAUGGGCGAAAGCCUGACGGAGCAACGCCGCGUGAGUGAUGAAGGUCUUCGGAGCGUAAAACUCUGUUAUUAGGGAAGAACAAAUGUGUAAGGAAAUAUGCACGUCGUGACGGUACCUAAUCAGAAAGCCACGGCUAACUACGUG